rnacentral:lncRNA from 1 species
AAUUUCUUCAUCCCAGCUCCUAUGAGAUUUAUUCAACUUCCUGAUGAUUCUCCACCACUUUAUGUAUCCAAAUAAAGCUUCUCACAAAGAGAUUCAUCCUGGUUUGAUUGGAAGGACGAAGAAGCUGUGCUAUUCCCAAACUGGGAAACUAGAAUCACCUGAUUUGAAAGUGGGAUAACUUCUUCAUAAAAUGAGCUUUAAACAAUAUUGAAUUCAUAGAAGCAAUCCAAUUUACAUCAAAUCUAAAUAUUUUAGAGUUGUGGCUUGGUUUGUUUUAAAUUGCCGUUUGGAUUUACCGCCGACAUGUCAUCAAAAACAUAUCUUAGCCAUACAUUGGAAUUUCAAACGUAUUAUAAUUAUUGGCUAUAAAAUAUUUCCAUGAAUUUAAUUCCAAAAAGUUAUAGGACAUCAUAUAUUUUCAAAAUACACUAAGUUGGAUUAAACAAUAUUGUCAUAUUAAAAGGUUAAGAAACUUGUUGACAUUUUGUUUUAUCAAGUUUACUUAUGUAUCCAAAAUAGUGUGACAUCCUAGUUCGAUUGGAUCAGAUUUUAGAAAGUGGGAUAACUUCUUCAUCCCAACUCCUAUGAGAUUUAUUCAACUUCCUGGUGAUUCUCCAACACUUUAUGUAUCCAAAUCAAGCUUCUUACAAAGUGAUUCAUCCUGGUUUGAUUGGAACGACGAAGAAGCUGUCCUAUUCCCAAACUGGGAAACUGGAAUCACCUGAUUAGAAAGUGGGAUAACUUCUUCAUCCCAACUCCUAUGAGAUAUUCUCUUCCCUGUAGACAAGCAGUAGAAGGGCUACGUCGGAUGAGUGUCAAACAUAUUGUUAAAAUAUAUCCAAUGAGAGAUAAAUGAAAAGUAAGAAGCUCAUCAGGAAGUUGAAUAAAUCUCCGGACUGAGAUAAAUGAAAAGUUAAUGGUUUACCUUUCUCUUUUCUCUAUUAAUAUGUGUAACCAAGCUUGCAGUGUAGAACCAGGUACAAAGUCUAUUUGGUGCUCAAUCCACUUGAUUCUGAAUUUGAGCAUGGAUGGACCUUCCUUGCAGUGCCAAUAAGACUUUAUAGUGCUAUCCCAAUAAUUGUUUCGGUAAAACAACGAAACAGUAGUGGUAUUUCACUUGGUAAACUAAGUAUCAAUAUUCUAUUACACUUCGAAUGCUAUCCCACCUUCUUUUCCAAAAUAUAUAAUCCCGAAGUUAACAAUAAAUUAUGUUUGAUAUCCCAGGCGGUUGGAUUCUCUGACGUCAUCGUUAAUACGCUAUUGGAGCUGGAAUUACCGCCGACGGAUUAUUGGCAUCCGUUCGUUGUUUUUAUCCCACUUUUUGUAAUGGUGCAAUUAUUUUUUUUUAGAUUAAUUGUAACCAGACUCUAUCACACUAAUCUCCCUAAAUUAGUGGUCAAAGACUCACCAGACGCGUGGGCGACGUAAUCGUCAAAGUACGGAACUCUGAGACCGUUAGUCAACGAAGACAGGUCAAGACUCUUGUGAGCGAGAUCAUCAUUCACGUAAAGAUUGAACACUAGCGUGUUCAUCGUCGCUUGACUCACGAUAUCGCAGAAGUGAACACGAACGAAGUAUCUAUCUUCAGCAAGGUUAGAGGCAUAAAUAGCUGUGUAGACGAAUCUGAUAGUUCCUACCACUUUGAUUUCGCACGUGAGCGACUGUUACUCAUUAUGGUCCUUUCGGAGGAGGUCCUCAACCCGAAAAUCCGAAACUUCUAAUAUUAUAUAUAUAUGGGUGUUUCAGUUUAUUUUUGGUAUUAUAGGUAUUUUUUUAAGUUUCAAAUUUUUAUUUUUGGGUAUAGUUUUGGGUUUCGAUAAAAAACUAGAUUUUCAAAAAUAUAAUUAGGAUAAUCGGAUAAAAUUUUGGAUAUUUUUAUGUCUUUGGAUCAGAUUUUAGAUAAAAUUUAUCAUAUUUUCGAGUAUUUAAAUAUAUUCAAGUAUUUUCUAUGUAUCAUGCUUUUAAUUUAUGACAAUUUAUAAGUUUAUUUUUAAUGCAGUGUAAAAUCACUGAUCCAAAAGUAACGUGAGGUUAAACUGGAAUCACCUGAUUAGAAAGUGGGAUAACUUCUUCAUCCCAACUCCUAUGAGAUUUAUUCAACUUCCUGGUGAUUCUCCAACACUUUAUGUAUCCAAAUCAAGCUUCUUACAAAGUGAUUCAUCCUGGUUUGAUUGGAACGACGAAGAUGCUGUCCUAUUCCCAAAGUGGGAAACUGGAAUCACCUGAUUAGAAAGUGGGAUAACUUCUUCAUCCCAACUCCUAUGAGAUAUUCUCUUCCCUGUAGACAAGCAGUAGAAGGGCUACGUCGGAUGAGUGUCAAACAUAUUGUUAAAAUAUAUCCAAUGAGAGAUAAAUGAAAAGUAAGAAGCUCAUCAGGAAGUUGAAUAAAUCUCCGGACUGAGAUAAAUGAAAAGUUAAUGGUUUACCUUUCUCUUUUCUCUAUUAAUAUGUGUAACCAAGCUUGCAGUGUAGAACCAGGUACAAAGUCUAUUUGGUGCUCAAUCCACUUGAUUCUGAAUUUGAGCAUGGAUGGACCUUCCUUGCAGUGCCAAUAAGACUUUAUAGUGCUAUCCCAAUAAUUGUUUCGGUAAAACAACGAAACAGUAGUGGUAUUUCACUUGGUAAACUAAGUAUCAAUAUUCUAUUACACUUCGAAUGCUAUCCCACCUUCUUUUCCAAAAUAUAUAAUCCCGAAGUUAACAAUAAAUUAUGUUUGAUAUCCCAGGCGGUUGGAUUCUCUGACGUCAUCGUUAAUACGCUAUUGGAGCUGGAAUUACCGCCGACGGAUUAUUGGCAUCCGUUCGUUGUUUUUAUCCCACUUUUUGUAAUGGUGCAAUUAUUUUUUUUUAGAUUAAUUGUAACCAGACUCUAUCACACUAAUCUCCCUAAAUUAGUGGUCAAAGACUCACCAGACGCGUGGGCAACGUAAUCGUCAAAGUACGGAACUCUGAGACCGUUAGUCAACGAAGACAGGUCAAGACUCUUGUGAGCGAGAUCAUCAUUCACGUAAAGAUUGAACACUAGCGUGUUCAUCAUCGCUUGACUCACGAUAUCGCAGAAAUGAACACGAACUGAGAUAACUUCUUCAUCCCAACUCCUAUGAGAUUUAUUUAAUUUCCUGGUCAUUAUACACCACUUUAUGUAUCCAAAUCAAGCUUCUUACAAAUUGAUUCAUCCUGGUUUGAUUGUAACGACGAAGAAGCUGUCCUAUUCCCAAACUGGAAAACUGGAAUCACCUGAUUUGAAAGUGGGAUAACUUAUUCAUCCCAACUCCUAUGAGAUUUAUUCAACUUGCUGGUGAUUCUCCACCACUUUAUGUAUCCAAAUCAAGCUUCCUACAAAGUGACUCAUCCUGCUUUGAUUGGAACGACGAAGAAGAUGUCCUAUUCCCAAACUGGAAAACUCUUCUUUCAAAGUGAUUCAUCCUGCUUUGAUUGGAAUGACAAAGAAGCUAUCCUAUUCCCAAACUGGGAAACUGGAAUCACCUGAUUUGAAAGUGAGAUAACUUCUUCAUCCCAACUCCUAUGAGAUUUAUUCAACUUCCUGGUCAUUCUCCACCAUUUUAUGUAUCCAAAUCAAGCUUCUUCCAAAGUGAUUCAUCCCGCUUUGAUUGGAACAACGAAGAAGUUGUCCUAUUCCCAAACUGGGAAACUGGAAUCAUCUGAUUUGAAAGUGGAAUAACUUCUUCAUCCCAAAUCCUAUGAGAUUUAUUCAACUUCUUGGUCAUUCUCCACCACUUUAUGUCUCCAAAUCAAGCUUCUUACAUAGUGAUUCAUCCUGCUUUGAUUGGAACGACGAAGAAGCUAUCCUAUUCCAAAACUGGGAAACUAAAAUCACCUGAUUUGAAAGUGGGAUAGCUUCUUCAUCCCAACUCCUAUGAGAUUUAUUCAACUUCCUGGUCAUUCUCCACCACUUAAUGUAUCCAAAUCAAGCUUCUUACAAAGUGAUUCAUCCUGGUUUGAUUGGAAAGACGAAGAAGCUGUCCUAUUCCCAAACUGGGAAACUGGAAUCACCUGAUUUGAAAGUGGGAUAACUUCUUCAUCCCAACUCCUAUGAGAUUUAUUCAACUUGCUGGUGAUUCUCCAACACUUAUAUAUCCAAAUCAAGGUUCUUUCAAAGUGAUUCAUCCUGCUUUGAUAGGAAUGACAAAGAAGCUAUCAUAUUCCCAAACUGGGAAACUGGAAUCACCUGAAGUGAGAUAACUUCUUCAUCCCAACUCCUAUGAGAUUUAUUCAACUUCCUGGUGAUUCUUCACCACUUUAUGUAUCCAAAUCAAGCUUCUUACAAAGUGAUUCAUCCUACUUUGAUUGAAACGACGAAGAAGUUGUCCUAUUCCCAAACUGGGAAACUGGAAUCACCUAAUUUGAAAGUGGGAUACCUUCUUCAUCCCAACUCCUAUGAGAUUUAUUCAACUUCCUAGUCAUUCCCCACCACUUAAUGUAUCCAAAUCAAGCUUCUUACAAAGUUAUUCAUCCUGGUUUGAUUGGAACGACGAAGAAGAUGUUCUAUUCCCAAACUGGGAAACUGGAAUCACAUGAUUUAAAAGUGGAAUAACUUCUUCAUCCCAACUCCUAUGAAAUUUAUUCAACUUCCUGGUCAUUCUCCACCACUUUAUUUAUCAAAAUCAUGCUUCUUACAAAGUGUUUCAUCCUUCUUUGAUUGUAACGACGAAGAAGCUGUCCUAUUCCCAAACUGGGAAACUGGAAUCACCUGAUUUGAAAGUGAGAUAACUUCUUCAUCCCAAAUCCUAUGAGAUUUAUUCAACUUCCUCGUGAUUCUCCACCACUUUAUGUAUCCAAAUCAAGCUUCUUACAAAGUGAUUCAUCCUGCUUUGAUUGAAACGACGAAGAAGUUGUCCUAUUCCCAAACUGGGAAACUGGAAUCAC